rnacentral:rRNA from 1 species
AGCAGCCGCGGUAAUUCCAGCUCCAAUAGCGUAUAUUAAAGUUGUUGCAGUUAAAAAGCUCGUAGUUGAAUUUCGGGACUAAUAUGUCGGUCGUACUUUGUACGUACUAGCAUUAUUGGUUUCUCCCUUCUGACGAACCACGAUGUCAUUAAUUUGGUGUCGCGGGAAAUCAGGACUGUUACUUUGAAAAAAUUAGAGUGUUUAAAGCAAGCUCGCGCUUGAAUACAUUAGCAUGGAGUAAUGAAAUAGGACGUUUGAUUCUAUUUUGUUGGUUUCUAGGAUCGACGUAAUGAUUAAUAGGGAUAGUUGGGGGCAUUAGUAUUCAAUUGUCAGAGGUGAAAUUCUUGGAUUUAUUGAAGACUAACUACUGCGAAAGCAUUUGCCAAGGAUGUUUUCAUUAAUCAAGAACGAAAGUUAGGGAUCGAAGACGAUCAGAUACCGUCGUAGUCUUAACCAUAAACUAUGCCGACUAGGGAUCGGAUGAUGUUAAUUUUUAAUGUACUCAUUCGGCGUCCUUACG